rnacentral:rRNA from 1 species
CGCGUAGGUGGUAGUGUAAGUCUGAGGUGGAAUCCUAUGGCUUAACCAUAGAACUGCCUUGGAUACUGUAUUACUUGAGUCAGUGAGGGGAGGGUAGAAUUCCUGGUGUAGCGGUGAAAUGCGUAGAUAUCAGGAGGAAGGCCUGUGGCGAAGGCGGCCCUCUGGCGCUGGACUGACACUGAGGCGCGAAAGCGUGGGGAGCAAACAGGAUUAGAUACCCUGGUAGUCCACGCCCUAAACGGUGGGCACUAGGUGUAGGGCUCGUAAGGGUUCUGUGCCGAAGGGAAACCAUUAAGUGCCCCGCCUGGGGAGUACGGCCGCAAGGUUGAA